GACGAACCGGACGAACGUUAUUCGGAAUUACUGGGCUUAAAGGGUACGUAGGCGGUCCGGUAAGUGGGGUGUGAAAUCCCUCGGCUCAACCGAGGAACGGCGCCCCAUACUGCCAGACUGGAGGGAGACAGAGGUGAGCGGAACUGAUGGUGGAGCGGUGAAAUGCGUUGAUAUCAUCAGGAACACCGGUGGCGAAAGCGGCUCACUGGGUCUCUUCUGACGCUGAGGUACGAAAGCUAGGGGAGCGAACGGG
rnacentral:rRNA from 1 species